rnacentral:rRNA from 1 species
UACAGAGGGUGCGAGCGUUAAUCGGAAUUACUGGGCGUAAAGCGUGCGUAGACGGUUAUUUAAGUCGGGUGUGAAAGCCCCGGGCUCAACCUGGGAAUUGCAUUCGAGACUGAAUAGCUAGGGUACGGUAGAGGGAAGUGGAAUUUCCGGUGUAGCGGUGAAAUGCGUAGAUAUCGGAAGGAACAUCAGUGGCGAAGGCGACUACCUGGCCUGUUCUUGACGCUGAGGCGCGAAAGCUAGGGGAGCAAACGGG